UACGUAGGGUGCGAGCGUUAAUCGGAAUUACUGGGCGUAAAGCGCACGUAGGCGGCUACUCAAGUCGGGGGUGAAAGCCCUGGGCUCAACCCAGGAAGUGCAUUCGAAACUGCAGAGCUGGAGUCCUGGAGAGGAAGGCGGAAGUUCUCGGUGUAGAGGUGAAAUUCGUAGAUAUCGAGAGGAACAACCGGUGGCGAAGGCGG
rnacentral:rRNA from 1 species